UUUGCCUACGGGGGGCAGCAGUGGGGGAUAUUGCACAAUGGGGGAAACCCUGAUGCAGCGACGCCGCGUGAGUGAAGAAGUAUUUCGGUAUGUAAAGCUCUAUCAGCAGGGAAGAAGAUGACGGUACCUGACUAAGAAGCCCCGGCUAACUACGUGCCAGCAGCCGCGGUAAUACGGAGGAUGCGAGCGUUAUCCGGAUUUAUUGGGUUUAAAGGGUGCGCAGGCGGAGGUGCAAGUCAGCGGUCAAAUUGCGGGGCUCAACCCCGUACUGCCGUUGAAACUGCAUCCCUUGAGUGCGCGAGAAG
rnacentral:rRNA from 1 species